UAUAAAUAGGGGGUCCUAGCUAGGGGUUGGUUUUUGGUAAUUGAGAGUGACCUAGACUUGAGGGAGACCGUCGUCAAUAAUUUAAAGGUUUUUGGUUCUUUGAUGAUAUUUUAGUUUUUUAGUAAUGUAAAUUUUAUUUAAUGAUAUUUUAGUUUUUUAGUAAUGUAAAUUUUAUUUAAUGAUAUUUUAGUUUUUUAGUAAUGUAAAUUUUAUUUAAUGAUAUUUUAGUUUUUUCGUUGAUACUUCAGCUUCCCCAG
rnacentral:lncRNA from 1 species